GACGAACGCUGGCGGCGUGCCUAAUACAUGCAAGUUGAGCGAUGAAGAUUGGUGCUUGCACCAAUUUGAAGAGCAGCGAACGGGUGAGUAACGCGUGGGGAAUCUGCCUUUGAGCGGGGGACAACAUUUGGAAACGAAUGCUAAUACCGCAUAACAACUUUAAACAUAAGUUUUAAGUUUGAAAGAUGCAAUUGCAUCACUCAAAGAUGAUCCCGCGUUGUAUUAGCUAGUUGGUGAGGUAAAGGCUCACCAAGGCGAUGAUACAUAGCCGACCUGAGAGGGUGAUCGGCCACAUUGAGACUGAGACACGGCCCAAACUCCUACGGGAGGCAGCAGUAGGGAAUCUUCGGCAAUGGACGAAAGUCUGACCGAGCAACGCCGCGUGAGUGAAGAAGGUUUUCGGAUCGUAAAACUCUGUUGGUAGAGAAGAACGUUGGUGAGAGUGGAAAGCUCAUCAAGUGACGGUAACUACCCAGAAAGGGACGGCUAACUACGUG
rnacentral:rRNA from 1 species